AUUGAACGCUGGCGGCAUGCUUUACACAUGCAAGUCGGACGGCAGCACAGAGAAGCUUGCUUCUUGGGUGGCGAGUGGCGAACGGGUGAGUAAUAUAUCGGAACGUACCGAGUAAUGGGGGAUAACUAAUCGAAAGAUUAGCUAAUACCGCAUAUUCUCUGAGGAGGAAAGCAGGGGACCUUCGGGCCUUGCGUUAUUCGAGCGGCCGAUAUCUGAUUAGCUAGUUGGUGGGGUAAAGGCCUACCAAGGCGACGAUCAGUAGCGGGUCUGAGAGGAUGAUCCGCCACACUGGGACUGAGACACGGCCCAGACUCCUACGGGAGGCAGCAGUGGGGAAUUUUGGACAAUGGGCGCAAGCCUGAUCCAGCCAUGCCGUGUGUCUGAAGAAGGCCUUCGGGUUGUAAAGGACUUUUGUCAGGGAAGAAAAGGCUGUUGCUAAUAUCGACAGCUGAUGACGGUACCUGAAGAAUAAGCACCGGCUAACUACGUG
rnacentral:rRNA from 1 species